rnacentral:lncRNA from 1 species
GCGGGAGGGGAGGUUUUCUUCUCAGUCGGCUGCACGCUGCCGUCUGGUGCCUGCAGCCCUGCCUGCGGUGACGGUCCCUCUGCCCGAGCUCCGCAGCUUUGUCCGGGAACGGGUAGAGGGAAUUUUCUCCUAGCAGGAUGUUAGAUUUGAGGGGCUGUUGUAUCUGGAGCGGUGUUUGAAACAGCUUUGUUGCUGGUGAAACAGCGCUCCCACAGCCAAUUAAAGGAGCCUUCUGAGAGCGCUCUGAUGCGCAUCCAGUUGGGCAGGUGACUGGUCGUUUCCUCAUAAAACCACUCAAAGGAAUGUCUGAAACAUCCCAUGAAUGUCAAAACACCGAGUGCUUAACCUGCCGGCUUCCAUUCUGUGCUUUUUACAUUAUGCACACAAAAAAACUACCUGCAGAAGAUAGCUGCGAGUUGCACGGGUGUGCUUUUCGAGCUUGGAGUUGGAAGCCUUGUGGAAGAGUGUUGUGUCCUGUAGGAAUUAGCUGGGAACUGUUGCAGUUUCCAAAGUAUGUAGGUUUCUGCAAAGGUCAUGUCUCUUAUUUAUUUGCAUGGAAACUACUGCAGAUACCAAGAGCACAAUGGCACUACUUAAUAGAGCAAAUUCUCAGCUACAAAACACUGUUUUUCAACACUCACCACUAGCUAUGCAUUUUCAACAGCCAUGGACCUGAGCCUGCAUGCCACGCUUGUAAGAGUCUGCAGAGGUGACCCACUGUUGCUGUCACUGCUCCUGAAACGCACCACCCACAACCUCACUGUGCUCAUAUCCACUGCUUGGUCUCCAUCAACAUUCAGCAUCAUGAAUGUCAGUAGGUGCCAUUUUUUCUGCAUGGAGGAAUUCAGUGACACACCUUUGCUUUGUGUGCACUUCCACAUCAGAUGCCACUGUGUCAGGACUGUCCCUCUGCUGCAUAUCUGUCAUAUGGCAACAACAUGGAACGGAAUGUUGGCGGGAAGGUUUGACAUCUCCUGCCAUACCACGAACAUCUGCCUCUGAUACUGUGGGCCAACAUAAUAAAAUAGGAGGCACUACUUUUGGAGCAACCCUCAUUUCUACUGUAGUAGUUUUGCACACGUGCAACUUCUUAAAACUCAUCAACACAAAGUUCCUCCAGAGUAUGAACUCUUCACCGUUUAAGGAGAAGUGGAUUUUCAUUGCUUUCCUUCUGCACUGA